ACCCACCCACUUUCCUCCUCCACUCCUCGUCCGCACCAAUCUUGCCUCGUCAGUCGUCGGUUUGUCUCUCGUGUUGGCUAGGCCGUCGCCGGCCGCGACCGCCGCCCUCCGCGCCGUCGCCGCCCUCGACCGCGGCCCCCCGCGCGGUCCCCGGCUGCCGCGACCGCUGCCCUCGACCGCGGCCCUCCGCGCGGUCCCCGGCCGCCGUGACCGCCGCCUUCCGCACCGUCGCCGGCCUCGACCGCAGCCCUCUGCGCAGUCCCUGGCCACGACCGCGGCCCUCCGCGGCCCAGGUCAUCGUCGUCGCGAGCCUCCGUGACCGCCGCCCUCCGUGACUGCCGCCGUCCUCCGCGCCCCAUGUCUCAUCAUCACGAGCCUCCAGCCCUCCACCGCCGCUGCUGCCGGGAUAGGAUUUGGCAUGGGAGAAGAAAGGAGGAGGAGGAGGAAGAGAGACUUACUUGUGGGACCCAAUGUUAAAUUGGAGAAUGUGAAUGGAGAGACUGUUGGACUAAAAGGAUUCCACCACAUGUAUUCUCUAGCUACAAUUGCAGGAGAAAAUUUUUGAAGCAAGCAACAUCGGUGCAACAACUUCCUGUUUUGGACAGAGUUCGGCUAAAUUUCUUGUAGGAAUGAUCACAUGUAAUUUCCAGAAGUUCAGUCAAAUAGCCUACGUCUGAACCUGCCCGGUCAGGAAACACCCCAGAUGAACACAGCACUGAAUUAAGUUACAGCACAUCAACCAUUCAACAAUAAUCAUCAGGUUAGCUAAAUUGUGAAGCAACAGCUACAUCUCAGUGACAUGGGGCAGAAGCAGCCCAACUAGAACUCAAAUAGUUUAUGAAAAAAGGGGGAAAAAAUACUACACACAACACAGCCUACAGCAGCUGAGCAUUCUUGAUUUAUACACAGACAUGGCAUGGAUGCAUUGUACAUUGUACAAUAAAACCGCGACAUGGACCAAAGAGAAGCUCCUGCCUUAAAUUGUUGCGAGAAAUUAGUUCAUGAACCGGCUGCUACGACAACUUGAAGGACUUGCAGGGGCUAGUUUGAUGAUAGGAAAUGCACUCGGGCGAGAGGAUAUUCCUUUCCAGCAACCCAAACACCAGUCUGCGACCACUGCACAUCCUCCCAUUCCAAAUUAUCCUGCAGCACCUGCGUUGCGUCGAGGUAACAAGAAAACCGUGUGAGAAUUGUGGUUUCUGUAUGCGAAUUAUCCACCAUUUUAAUGUUAGAAAGCAGGACGUUACCUCAAGUUGAUCAGCUGGCAGCGGGAUACCGAUGGAGCGCAUAGAGCUCUCAGGCAUCGCCUUCUUACAGCGGGACCAUCGGAACAAAUCCCGCAGUUCAUGUUCUGAAGAGGCCCUG